UACGAGGGGUGCAAGCGUUGCUCGGAAUUAUUGGGCGUAAAGGGUUGGUAGGUGGUCUUGUUUGUCUAGGGUGAAAUCCCAUGGCUUAACUGUGGAAGUGCCCUAGAAACGGCAAGACUAGAGUCCUAGAGGGGUUUGUGGAAUUCCCGGUGUAGCGGUGAAAUGCGUAGAGAUCGGGAGGAACACCAGCGGCGAAGGCGGCAAACUGGAUAGGCACUGACACUCAACAACGAAAGCGUGGGGAGCAAACAGG
rnacentral:rRNA from 1 species